GCCCAGGUAGCUCAGUUGGUAGAGCAGCGGACUGAAAAUCCGCGUGUCGGCGGUUCGACUCCGUCCCUGGGCACCA
rnacentral:tRNA from 1 species